rnacentral:rRNA from 1 species
GACGAACGCUGGCGGCGUGCUUAACACAUGCAAGUCGAACGGAAAGGCCCUGCUUUUGUGGGGUGCUCGAGUGGCGAACGGGUGAGUAACACGUGAGUAACCUGCCCUUGACUUUGGGAUAACUUCAGGAAACUGGGGCUAAUACCGGAUAGGAGCUCCUGCUGCAUGGUGGGGGUUGGAAAGUUUCGGCGGUUGGGGAUGGACUCGCGGCUUAUCAGCUUGUUGGUGGGGUAGUGGCUUACCAAGGCUUUGACGGGUAGCCGGCCUGAGAGGGUGACCGGCACCAUUGGGACGGAAUACGGCCCCAGCCCCCAAGGGGGGGCAGCAGGGGGAAAUAGGACAAAAGGGGCGGGGUCGGGUGCAGGCAACGCCGGGUGGGGAGGGGGGGCUUUGGGGUUGAAAACCGUUUCCGCCUGGGAGAAAGGGGGAGUGAGGGAAAGGGAAAAAAAAGCACGGGCAAACACCGUC